rnacentral:rRNA from 1 species
CCUACGGGGGGCAGCAGUGAGGAAUAUUGGUCAAUGGGCGCGAGCCUGAACCAGCCAAGUAGCGUGAAGGAUGACUGCCCUACGGGUUGUAAACUUCUUUUAUCAAGGAAUAAAGUGAGGCACGUGUGCCUUUUUGUAUGUACUUUAUGAAUAAGGAUCGGCUAACUCCGUGCCAGCAGCCGCGGUAAUACGGAGGAUCCGCGCGUUAUCCGGAUUUAUUGGGUUUAAAGGGAGCGUAGAUGGGUUGUUAAGUCAGUUGUGAAAGUUUGCGGCUCAACCGUAAAAUUGCAAUUGAUACUGGCAGCCUUGAGUACAGGAGAGGUAGGCGGAAUGCGUGGUGCAGCGGUGAAAUGCUUAGAUAUCACGAAGAACUCCGAUUGCGAAGGCAGCUUACUAAACUGCCACUGACAUUGAUGCUCGAAAGUGUGGGUAUCAAACAGGAUUAGAUACCCGAGUAGUC